CUCCCAGCUUCAAGCGAUCCUCCCACCUCAGCUUCCCGAGUAACUGGGACUACAGAUGAAGAUGCUGAGGAACAGGGAGGUCGAGUAGCCCAAGAUCACACAGCUGAUAAAAGGCUGCCCUAAUGUGUGAGACCCACAGUAGACAGUCAGCUGGAGGCCAUCUUGCUCCAGCACCAGGAGAAGGGGUUGGACAAACCCCUAGAACCCCACCAUGGUUGCCAGUUGCCUGUAGUGUUGUUCUUCUCACAGAUACUAAUGGCUGCAGAAGUGCUUGUAGGUCAUGCACAGCUGGCACUCACUCUGUCCUGCCACCCUGAGAAGAAGGUGCCUGCUUCCCCUUUGCGUUCC